ACUUUCUGACAGGAUACUGAUGGCACAGCUACUAAGACCAACAAUUAACAAACAGAGGCUGAAAAACUUCUGUAUGCCAAGCGACACCAUCACUAGGACAAGGUAGUAGCCUAAGAUCUAGAAAAAGAUCUUUACCAAUUAUGCAUCUGAUAGAGGUCUUGAAUUUAGAAUAUAUAAAGAACUCAAAAAAAAAAAGGAAAAAACAAAUGACCCAAUUUAAAAAUUAGGUGCAGAACUAAACAGUGUUCUCAAAAGAUGAAAUAAAAAUCACUGAGAAACAGAGAAAUGUUCAACACUUUAGCCAUCAAGAAAAUGUAAGUUAUGACUACUUUAAAGCUUAUCUUACACCAUAUAGAAUGGCCAAGAUCAAUAAAAUAAGUACUAGGGCAUGCUGGCCAGACCGAGGGGAAAUGGAACCCUAAUUCAUUGCUGCUGUGAGUGCAAACUGGCGCAACCACUGUGGAAGUCAGUGUGGCUGUUCUCCAGGAAGCUGGGAAUCCAUCUCCCUCAAAUUCCAAUAAACCACUCUGGAACUCUCCAUUCUGCUGCAGAGAUGCAUGCUCAUCCUGGCUUCCCUAUUCACAAUAAGCAGACAUAGGAGACAGCAGAGAUGUUAGUCGACCGAUGAGCGGAUAAUGAAAAUAGGGGAGAAUUUACACAACGGAAUGCUAGUCAGCUAUUAAGACAGAUGAAAUUCCUGGCAAAUAGAUGAAGCUAGAAAAAAAAGUCAACCUGAGUGAGGUAACCUAGACCCAAAAAGACAUGUUUUUCUCUUACAUGUAGAUGUUAGCUUUUAAGUUUUCAAAAUAAUGUGGUUUGAACAACCACAGAAGAUAAUUGCUUAGUAAGGGACUGGAUGGGAGGAGAGGAUCUUACAAGGGAAGGAAAAUAGAAUAUAUUGUUCUGGAGAGACAAAGUAGAAACUAGACUAGAAGGAUUAAGUAGGGAUGGGAUGAGAGAGAAAGGCGAGAGGAGAAUAUUAGCUAACAGCAGAGGCCAUUUGAAAAACCAUAUAGGAAGAAGCCCACUACUAUAGAAAAUUCCUAAAAUCUAUCCAUAUAUGAGAGAAACAUGAAUGGAGUAAUCCAAUAGUGGGGGAAACAAUGCCACAACUAUGAUUUUUCAGACGCAAGGGGUGGACGCAAAGGUGAGCUUACAGAGAUUGUGACAGUCCACACAGGAUCAAGACAUCCUGAGUCUCAGCACUGAGAGUGGAAAGUGGACACAGGUUCUCACCCCUAACCAGGAAGGUAUCUGCAGUUGUCAGCUGCUAGGCUGAAAAUCAGUUUUCUCCGGUGGAGUCUCAUUAGGUAUGUCAACUGUACAUCAGGGCAGGCCCCAUGGCCAACGUACUUGGCUAACCCAAAAGGUACUCAGUGGCAUUUUUGUGGACUUUUGUUUCAUUCUGCUUUGUUUGGGCAUUUUCUGAGCUUUCAGUCUUUUGCUUGCUUGUUACUUUUUAUUUGGGGGUUGUUGUGCUCCUUGUUUUGUUUUUUGAAAGAGGAGAGCAACCCUGGGUGGAUGGGGAGGUGAGGAAGGUCUGGGAGGAAUCGGGAGAGAGGAAAAACAUAAUGAAAAUGCAUUGUUUGUAAAGAAUUUUUAAAAUUAGUCUUGUGGUUCCAGGGCCAAGUAGUGUGAUGUUUUAUACAUUCCCCCAGCCAGUCAUUCACUCACUCACUCCAUCCGCAGGGUGUCCUACAUUGAGUUCCGUGCUAGACUCUGAAAAUAUGAAGAAAAGUGAUUCAUUGGCCUUUGCCUUCCAUGAUCAUGGAUGCUAACCAAAAUUGAGAUCCAGGAGAGGAGGGAGCCUCUCUUGCCUUUUGGCCUUUGUCCUGGCCAUGCAGUGCCUACAGAGGCGCCAACGCUGGGUUCAUGGCCCUGGGGAUGCUGCAGUAGCAUUACCCAAAACAUUUCUGGAAAUCCUGUCAGAAAUCCUUGCAGAGAUCAGAGAACACUUCGUCUUAACAGCAGACUCAGUGGUCUGAGAGCACUUUCCUUACAGGGAGAACGAGCUCUAUUUUUUUCAAAGUGUUCAAAAAUAUAGAAAGUACAGAUAAGUUUGUACCAAAUAUUUGAGAGUUCUCUGGAUGUAAAUGAAGAGUUGACAGCAUCAAGCCCUUUACUGCUUUUGCUUGGGAGAUUUUAAGUUAGGGAAAGGGAAUUUUUACUGAAAAACAAAGUCUCUGUUCUGUUCCCUCACGUGACCGAUUUCAGGAGGCUGAGGGGUGUGUGUGUGUGUGUGUGUGUGUGUGUGUGUGUGUGUAUACACGUGUGAAUGUGUGUGUGUACACAGGCAUGCAUGCUUAUCCAUAAGCGGUGCAUUUUGUGUGAUCAUUAACAUUCAAACAGGCCCAUUAGAUUAUGCAUCGUCAGCUUGAAUUAAAUAUGAGGAAGGGGGCUUGGGAAUAUAGGUCCACGGGAGCACUCCUGCUCACUUGUACCUAAGUGAGGCCCUAGGUGCAAUCCGGGGUGAUAACUAUAACGUCUUGGCUAUGUUUGGGGGUGCCUUCUCAAAUUGUUCUGAGAACACAUGCCAAAAGAAGUUCUGAAAGUGAUUUCAGAAAGACAGCUUUAUGUGGGAUUAUAAAGAACAAUAGUCGUUUAUAUAAUAUAUGCAACCUGAUAGUAUUAUCCAAUCAGUCCUUAACAUUAUAAUCUUGCUGCUCAUUUCCUGGAGUGGCUGGGCAGACAUU
rnacentral:lncRNA from 1 species